UUAAGGUGACACCACUGCACUCUAUCCAGGGUGACAGAACAAGACUCUGUCUCAAAAAAAAAAAAACCAUCAAAUAACAUCCCAGGAGGAAGUCUUCAAGAGUAAAUACAGCAGAGGAGUGAACUGAAGCCCCAGAAGUUUGAUCUUUGCACCUGGUCAUAUGGCUGGGAAGGAUAACGAGUUGAACUCCCUAACCAAUUACACGGGGAAGUUUGUGAUGAAUGUUCUACGUCUGUGGUCCCCAACCUGUUAACUGGGCUGCAGAGCAGGAGCAGGUGGAAUUCUGACAUCUGAAUCUAUUCUUCUCAAGCAAGAAACAUAUGGUCCCAGGAAAACCUGCAAAUCCAUGAACUGUGUGUGUGAGCGGGGAAGGAACGGACCCCUGAGGAUGGCCAGUUCUUCCUGCUCUUAGCUGCCCAGUGCCCUUACAGCUGGCUCUGUUCUGGAGUGAGAAAAACUGUGUUGAG